CCUACGGGUGGCAGCAGUGGGGAAUAUUGCACAAUGGGGGAAACACUGAUGCAGCGACGCCGCGUGAGUGAAGAAGGGCCUCGGCGCGUAAAGCUCUGUCAGCAGGGACGAUAAUGACGGUACCUGAAGAAGAAUCCGCGGGUAACUACGUGCCAGCAGCCGAGGUAAUACGUAGGGGGCAAGCGUUAUCCGGAUUUACUGGGUGUAAAGGGAGCGUAGACGGCGGGGCAAGUCUGGAGUGAAAGGCCUGGGCCCAACCCCGGGAACGCUUUUGAAACUGCCCGGCUGGAGUGCGGGAGAGGUAAGCGGAAUUCCUAGUGGAGCGGUGAAAUGCGUAGAUAUGAGGAGGAACACCAGUGGCGAAGGCGGCGUACUGGCCCGUGACUGACGUUGAGGCUCGAAAGCGUGGGGAGCAAACAGGAUUAGAUACCCCUGUAGUC
rnacentral:rRNA from 1 species